UAUGGAAUCAUCACUCAUUUAUUAGAGCGGCCAGGAAGGCAACGUUGAUCAUCUUUCCGUCUCCUUGGUUCACCGUCUCUCCGUCCGCUGCCCAGGGCGGGGAUCCCGGGGAACUCAACACAAUUCUUGUCGCAGUGAUACACUUGACCAGGGGUGCCCAUUACGUCGAUCCUGAUCUACCUGUAGAUCUAAGACGGGUCCCAAGUAGAACCGAAGAGUGUCGAGGAGAAGAAGAAAAAAAAAACUUUGUACAUGUUAGUAACAUAUUUUUUUGUGUUCAUGUACGCUGCACCCUAAUCAUCUUAUCAGUCUUAUUUUCACACAAAAAAAUAUAUUUAAAAAAUAAAAUAAAGCAGGUAAAUCAUGAAUUUCCGGUGGCUUGUAAUUACGUCACCGGAAGUUGUUAGCGCUCAGCAGCACUCUGCAAUUGUAGCUUGUGAUCAGAGCUGUUGCGAUCUAUCUUUUAUCGUCAUUAUUCUCAUUCAGAGUUUGCUUGGUGUACAGUUCACCGAGGGCACUGGCAAAGAAUUGAAAUCUAGGAGGGUCCAGGGAAGCACUUUAAAACGGUCCUGGGGUUUCCGUACGGGCCAGAAUCCCCAGUGUCGCUGGGAAUGGGGUCAAAGGUGAUGGUGCCAUUGUUGAGGUCCAACGUGGUCGGAGGGGACAUGUCAGGAGCCGAGGCGUGACGGUAGAGCUCCGAAGCGCAGUCAUCGAGGAGGGGCUCCUGCUUGAUGACCCGACCCAUCAUCUCUGAGGUGCACACCGACGGGGACGAGACGACGGAGUUGCUGAUGGCGAGGCCCGGGUGGGGCAGUCCUUGGUUGCCGUAUGCUUCCAGAAGAUUACCAGACACUGGUAGCUUGAGAGAAAAUGGUUGAGAAUUGUCAGACGCAUUCUUGAUCAAAUUGACUCGCUUAUUUCUGAAAAUAUGGGCAGUCAACGACACGGCUGAAGUGAGAAAAGCAGGUUGCAAUUACCGCGCUGUUAAGUUGAAGCCCUUGAUCCAUCAGUCCAAGAACGUCUUCGUUGUAACUUGACUCCAUGCUGAUGAUAUCGUCAAUAACUUCAUCCAUCUGUGUGACAUGAAAAAAAAACAAGAGCGCGUUUCAUGACGUUCAAUAUAAAUAGAUAAGUCAAUAAAAUGCUCCCAAUUGAGAAAAAACGCCGUCGAGUCACCCAAACGUAAUGAAAGUCAUGACUUUUUGUUACGCGUACCUCUUUCUCACAGUUUGAGGUGAGGGUGAGAUGAGCCAUGGGACUG